rnacentral:rRNA from 1 species
AGGAUGAACGCUGGCGGCGUGCUUAACACAUGCAAGUCGAACGAGCCUUCGGGCUAGUGGCGGACGGGUGAGUAACGCGUGAGAAUCUGCCCUCAGGAGGGGGAUAACGGCUGGAAACGGCCGCUAAUACCCCAUAUGCCGCGAGGUGAAAUGAGAAAUCGCCUGAGGAUGAGCUCGCGUCUGAUUAGCUAGUUGGUGGGGUAAGAGCCUACCAAGGCAUCGAUCAGUAGCUGGUCUGAGAGGAUGAUCAGCCACACUGGGACUGAGACACGGCCCAGACUCCUACGGGAGGCAGCAGUGGGGAAUUUUCCGCAAUGGGCGCAAGCCUGACGGAGCAACGCCGCGUGAGGGAUGAAGGCCUCUGGGCUGUAAACCUCUUUUCUCAAGGAAGAAGAACUGACGGUACUUGAGGAAUAAGCCACGGCUAAUUCCGUGCCAGCAGCCGCGGUAAUACGGGAGUGGCAAGCGUUAUCCGGAAUUAUUGGGCGUAAAGCGUCCGCAGGCGGUCUUGAAAGUCUGUUGUUAAAGCGUGGAGCUCAACUCCAUUUCAGCAAUGGAAACUAGAAGACUAGAGUGUGGUAGGGGCAGAGGGAAUUCCCGGUGUAGCGGUGAAAUGCGUAGAUAUCGGGAAGAACACCAGUGGCGAAGGCGCUCUGCUGGGCCAUAACUGACGCUCAUGGACGAAAGCCAGGGGAGCGAAAGGGAUUAGAUACCCCUGUAGUCCUGGCCGUAAACGAUGAACACUAGGUGUCGGGGGAAUCGACCCCCUCGGUGUCGUAGCCAACGCGUUAAGUGUUCCGCCUGGGGAGUACGCACGCAAGUGUGAAACUCAAAGGAAUUGACGGGGGCCCGCACAAGCGGUGGAGUAUGUGGUUUAAUUCGAUGCAACGCGAAGAACCUUACCAGGGUUUGACAUCCUGCGAAUCUUUUGGAAACAGAAGAGUGCCUUCGGGAGCGCAGAGACAGGUGGUGCAUGGCUGUCGUCAGCUCGUGUCGUGAGAUGUUGGGUUAAGUCCCGCAACGAGCGCAACCCACGUCUUUAGUUGCCAGCAUUGAGUUGGGCACUCUAGAGAGACCGCCGGUGAUAAACCGGAGGAAGGUGUGGAUGACGUCAAGUCAUCAUGCCCCUUACAUCCUGGGCUACACACGUACUACAAUGCUACGGACAGAGGGCAGCAAACUCGCGAGAGCUAGCAAAUCCCAUAAACCGUGGCUCAGUUCAGAUCGUAGGCUGCAACUCGCCUACGUGAAGGAGGAAUCGCUAGUAAUCGCAGGUCAGCAUACUGCGGUGAAUACGUUCCCGGGCCUUGUACACACCGCCCGUCACACCAUGGAAGUUGGCCAUGCCCGAAGUCGUUACUCCAACCCUUGUGGAGGAGGACGCCGAAGGUGGGGCUGAUGACUGGGGUGAAGUCGUAACAAGGUAGCCGUACCGGAAGG